UACGUAGGGGGCUAGCGUUGUCCGGAAUCAUUGGGCGUAAAGCGCGCGUAGGCGGCCAGAUAAGUCCGGUGUGAAAGUCAAAGGCUCAACCUUUGAAUGCCGCUGGAAACUGUCUGGCUUGAGUCCGGAAGGGGCGAGUGGAACUGCGAGUGUAGAGGUGAAAUUCGUAGAUAUUCGCAAGAACACCAGUGGCGAAGGCGGCUCACUGGCCCGGUACUGACGCUGAGGUGCGAAAGCGUGGGGAGCAAACAGGG
rnacentral:rRNA from 1 species